GAAAGAAGAAAGAGUACACAGGGAUGCCUUGGCUCUCAGAGGCGAUGAAGGACGUGAUAAGCUGCGAUAAGCUCCGGGAUUAGCAAAUGAAUUAAUCCGGAGAUUUCCGAAUGGGAAACCUGGCUAGUUGAAGACUAGUCGCAUUACGAUGCGCAAACCUGCCGAACUGAAACAUCUAAGUAAGCAGGAAGAGAAAAAAUAAUGAUUUCCUAAGUAGUGGCGAGCGAACGGAAAGAGCCCAAACCAGUUAUGUUACGGCAUAGCUGGGGUUGUAGGACUACAUGGCAUUAAUGAAAUGAAGUGGAACAGGAUGGGAAGCCUGGCAAGAUAGCGUGAGAGCCGCGUACACGUAACAUUAGUCUAGUAGUAUCCUGAGUACCGCGAGGUCGGAGACGCCUUGUGGGAAUCUGCCGGCACCAUCCGGUAAGGCUAAAUACCCUGAGAGACCGAUAGUGAACCAGUACCGUGAGGAAAGGUGAAAAGAACCCCGAACAGGGAGUGAAAUAGAACCUGAAACUGUGUACAAGCGGUCGGAGCGUCCAGGUGGCGUGACGGCGUGCCUUUGCAUAAUGAGCCUACGAGUUACUCUUCUCUGGCAAGGUUAUGUUUAAGACACGCAGCCGAAGCGAAAGCGAGUCUGAAUAGGGCGUAUAGUCAGGGAGGUAGACGCGAAACCUUGUGAUCUACCAUGGACAGGUUGAAGGUGCGGUAACACGUACUGGAGGACCGAACCGAUAAACGUUGAAAAGUUUCCGGAUGAUCUGUGGGUAGGGGUGAAAGGCUAAUCAAACUGGGAAAUAGCUCGUACUCCCGAAAUGUUUUAGGAACAGCGUGGUGGUAAAGUUUAAGAGGUAGAGCUACUGAUUGGGUGCGGGGAGUCAAAUCCUACCAAAUCCAGACAAACUCCGAAUGCUAUAAAUAUACACUGCAGUGAGGCCCGGGGUGCUAAGGUCACGGGCCGAGAGGAAAGAACCCAGACCAUCAGCUAAGGUCCCAAGUUACUACUGUUGAACUAACGAGGUGCGAUUGCCUAGACAGCUAGGAUGUUGGCUUGGAAGCAGCCAUUCAUUUAAAGAGUGCGUAACAGCUCACUAGUCGAGCGAUCGUGCAUGGAUAAUAAACGGGCAUAAAGUAGUACACCGAAGCUAUGGGUAAUAUGUGAAUAUUACGGUAGGGAGCAUUCCAGCGGCAGCGAAGUUAUGACGUAAGUUGUGGUGGAGCUUCUGGAAAAGCAAAUGUAGGCAUAAGUAACGAUAAGGCAGGCGAGAAACCUGCCCACCGAAAGGAUAAGGUUUCCUGAUCAACGCUAAUCGGAUCAGGGUUAGUCGGGGCCUAAGGAGAACCCGAAGGGAAAUUCGAUGGACAACUGGUUAAUAUUCCAGUACUUUUAUAACUGCGAUGGGGACGGAGUAGUGACACUGCCGCGAUCUGACGGAAUAGAUCGUUAAAGACUGUAGGUAUUGAGAGGUAGGCAAAUCCGCCACUCUAGCUAAAGGUCGAUAGUACCGCAAGCCUUCGGGUAAGUGGAUAGCGCAGGUAAUCAGACUUCAAGAAACCGCUAAGCUUCAGGUUAUAAAACCCGUACCGCAAACCGACACAGGUAUCCGGAAGAGAAUUCUAAGGUGCUCGAGGAAUCAUGGCUAAGGAACUCGGCAAAUGGCCCUGUAACUUCGGGAGAAGGGCGCUGACAGCAAUGUCAGCCGCAGUGAAAAGGCCCAGGCGACUGUUUAACAAACACAUGGCUUUGCAAAAUCGAAAGAUGAAGUAUAAGGCCUGACACCUGCCCGGUGCUGGAAGGUUAAGAGGGAUGUCAUCUGUUAAAGGAGAAGCAUUGAAUCGAAGCCCCAGUAAACGGCGGCCGUAACAUAACGGUCCUAAGGUAGCGAAAUUCCUUGUCGGGUAAGUUCCGACCUGCACGAAUGGUGUAACGAUCUGGGCGCUGUCUCAGCCAUGAGCUCGGUGAAAUUGUGGUCCCGGUGAAGACGCCGGGUACCCGCAACGGGACGGAAAGACCCCAUGCACCUUCACUACAAUUGACAUUGGAUACAAGAUGUGUAGGAUAGGUGGGAGACUGAAGCGGCAUCGCCAGGUGUUGUGGAGUCAACGUUGAAAUACCACCCUUUUGUAUUCGGUGUCUAACCCUUUCGGGGACAUUGUUUGAUGGGUAGUUUGACUGGGGUGGUCGCCUCCAAAAGGUAACGGAGGCUUUCAAAGGUAAGCUCAAUACGCUUGGUAACCGUAUGAGGAGUGCAAUAGCAUAAGCUUGCUUGACUGUGAGGCAGACAAGCCGAGCAGGGUCGAAAGACGGAUAUAGUGAUCCGGUGGUUCUGCAUGGAAGGGCCAUCGCUCAAAGGAUAAAAGGUACGCUGGGGAUAACAGGCUGAUCUCCCAAGAGCUCAUAUCGACGGGGAGGUUUGGCACCUCGAUGUCGGCUCGUCACAUCCUGGGGCUGGAGAAGGUCCCAAGGGUUCGGCUGUUCGCCGAUUAAAGUGGCACGCGAGCUGGGUUCAGAACGUCGCGAGACAGUUCGGUCCCUAUCUGUUGUGGGCGUAGGAAUUUUGAGUGGGCUGACCUUAGUACGAGAGGACCGGGUUGGACUAACCUCUAGUGAAUCUGUUGUUCCGCCAGGGCAUUGCAGAGUAGCUACGUUGGGAAUAGAUAAGCGCUGAAAGCAUCUAAGUGCGAAACUAGCCACGAGAUGAGAAUUCCAUAUAGGACCGUAGCAGACUACUACGUUGAUAGGUUACAGAUGUAAAGCUGGUGACAGCAUAGUCGAGUAAUACUAAUCAUCCGAAGCUUUCAAGAG
rnacentral:rRNA from 1 species